AGACCCGAAACCCGGUGAUCUAGCCAUGGGCAGGUUGAAGGUUGGGUAACACUAACUGGAGGACCGAACCGACUAAUGUUGAAAAAUUAGCGGAUGACCUGUGGCUGGGGGUGAAAGGCCAAUCAAACCGGGAGAUAGCUGGUUCUCCCCGAAAGCUAUUUAGGUAGCGCCUCGUGAAUUCAUCUCCGGGGGUAGAGCACUGUUUCGGCUAGGGGGCCAUCCCGGCUUACCAACCCGAUGCAAACUGCGAAUACCGGAGAAUGUUAUCACGGGAGACACACGGCGGGUGCUAACGUCCGUCGUGAAGAGGGAAACAACCCAGACCGCCAGCUAAGGUCCCAAAGUCAUGGUUAAGUGGGAAACGAUGUGGGAAGGCCCAGACAGCCAGGAUGUUGGCUUAGAAGCAGCCAUCAUUUAAAGAAAGCGUAAUAGCUCACUGGUCGAGUCGGCCUGCGCGGAAGAUGUAACGGGGCUAAACCAUGCACCGAAGCUGCGGCAGCGACACUGUGUGUUGUUGGGUAGGGGAGCGUUCUGUAAGCCUGUGAAGGUGUGUCGUGAGGCAUGCUGGAGGUAUCAGAAGUGCGAAUGCUGACAUAAGUAACGAUAAAGCGGGUGAAAAGCCCGCUCGCCGGAAGACCAAGGGUUCCUGUCCAACGUUAAUCGGGGCAGGGUGAGUCGACCCCUAAGGCGAGGCCGAAAGGCGUAGUCGAUGGGAAACGGGUUAAUAUUCCCGUACUUGGUGUUACUGCGAAGGGGGGACGGAGAAGGCUAUGUUGGCCGGGCGACGGUUGUCCCGGUUUAAGCGUGUAGGUGUGUGUUCCAGGUAAAUCCGGUUCACUUUAACACUGAGGCGUGACGACGAGGCACUACGGUGCUGAAGCAACAAAUGCCCUGCUUCCAGGAAAAGCCUCUAAGCAUCAGGUAACAUCAAAUCGUACCCCAAACCGACACAGGUGGUCAGGUAGAGAAUACCAAGGCGCUUGAGAGAACUCGGGUGAAGGAACUAGGCAAAAUGGUGCCGUAACUUCGGGAGAAGGCACGCUGACACGUAGGUGAAGUGAUUUACUCAUGGAGCUGAAGUCAGUCGAAGAUACCAGCUGGCUGCAACUGUUUAUUAAAAACACAGCACUGUGCAAACACGAAAGUGGACGUAUACGGUGUGACGCCUGCCCGGUGCCGGAAGGUUAAUUGAUGGGGUCAGCGCAAGCGAAGCUCCUGAUCGAAGCCCCGGUAAACGGCGGCCGUAACUAUAACGGUCCUAAGGUAGCGAAAUUCCUUGUCGGGUAAGUUCCGACCUGCACGAAUGGCGUAAUGAUGGCCAGGCUGUCUCCACCCGAGACUCAGUGAAAUUGAACUCGCUGUGAAGAUGCAGUGUACCCGCGGCAAGACGGAAAGACCCCGUGAACCUUUACUAUAGCUUGACACUGAACAUUGAGCCUUGAUGUGUAGGAUAGGUGGGAGGCUUUGAAGUGUGGACGCCAGUCUGCAUGGAGCC
rnacentral:rRNA from 1 species